GCUGGCUAACUACGGGACUGGAGGGCAUUUCCUGACGCACCCUGAUUACCUUGGCGAUUUGUUCGACAACGCCACCGAUCCGAGUGAAUUUGAGCUUCAUAAAAAAGUAGGAGAUCGAGUGGCCACGCUCAUGAUCUACAUGAGUGACGUCGAAGAGGGCGGGGCCACAGUCUUUCCAUACCUCGGAGUAAAGCUGACCCCCAAAAAAG